GGACGUGCGAAGCGUUCGCGGUGCGGAAGCUGAAGUCUUCAGCAGAACCCUGACCUAGGUAGGGAGUCUCAAUGGCCCUGGGUGAAGAAAAGGCAGAAGCGGAAGCAUCUGAAGACACAAAGGCCCAGUCCUAUGGGAGAGGGAGCUGCAGGGAGCGGGAGCUGGACAUCCCAGGGCCCAUGAGUGGGGAGCAGCCCCCACGCCUGGAAGCUGAGGGAGGGCUCAUCUCCCCUGUAUGGGGGGCAGAAGGGAUACCUGCCCCUACUUGCUGGAUUGGGACUGACCCUGGCGGCCCCUCUAGAGCCCACCAGCCACAGGCCAGUGAUGCCAACAGAGAGCCCGUAGCUGAGAGGUCUGAGCCUGCACUCAGUGGCCUGCCUCCUGCCACCAUGGGGUCUGGAGACCUUCUGCUCUCCGGGGAAAGCCAGGUGGAGAAGACCAAGCUUUCUUCCUCCGAGGAGUUCCCUCAGACUCUGAGCCUUCCCAGAACAACAACUAUUUGCUCAGGACAUGAUGCUGAUACCGAAGAUGAUCCAUCCCUAGCAGAUUUGCCCCAGGCACUGGACCUCAGC
rnacentral:lncRNA from 1 species